rnacentral:rRNA from 1 species
UGGUUUAAUUCGAUGCAACGCGAAGAACCUUACCAGGACUUGACAUCCCCCGGACCGGAUUAGAGAUAAUCCUUUCUCUUCGGAGACUGGGGAGACAGGUGGUGCAUGGUUGUCGUCAGCUCGUGUCGUGAGAUGUUGGGUUAAGUCCCGCAACGAGCGCAACCCCUGCCUUUAGUUGCCAACAGUUAGGCUGUGCACUCUAAAGGGACUGCCGAUGACAAAUCGGAGGAAGGUGGGGAUGACGUCAAAUCAUCAUGCCCUUUAUGUCCUGGGCUACACACGUGCUACAAUGGUCGGUACAACGGGCAGCGACUUAGCGAUAAGGAGCCAAUCCCAUAAAGCCGAUCCCAGUUCGGAUUGCAGGCUGCAACUCGCCUGCAUGAAGUCGGAGUUGCUAGUAAUCGUGGAUCAGAAUGCCGCGGUGAAUGCGUUCCCGGGUCUUGCACACACCGCCCG